rnacentral:misc_RNA from 1 species
AAGUCGUAACAAGGUUUCCGUAGGUGAACCUGCGGAAGGAUCAUUAACACGUAUCCAACGUUAAACAACCCUGUGAACUUUAAGCCUACUCUUGCAGCCCAUGAGGAACAGCAAUCCCGGUAAAUCAUUGCCAAACAGUUUUGAUUCGGGACCUCUGUCCAAAAGGAGUUGCAAUUGAGUGGUAGAUGCAGUGGCAUGGCUUCCCCAAGCAGUUAGUGAAUGACAGUGUCACUGACUGUGUAAGGAUAACCGACAUGUCACAGGGCCACCGCGCCCCUUAAUCACUCCACUAGAAAAUGCCCCGCCUAGUGGUAACGCGCUAGGUAAAAAAAACCGAACAACGGUUAACAAUGGAUAUCUUGGUUCUC